AGCUGAAAAAUCGGAAGGCAACGCCUGGGAGCCAAACAAGGUAUUUUUGCACAACGAAAACACAAAACAGAGAAGAGAAGGUCCUUUUACGAGGAGCGACAGGCAGCUGCUCCGCUACAUGUAACAGUGUGUUUGGAUGGGUCUCUGACUCCCAUUUGACCCCUUUUCCUUUUCUUGAUAAUCUCGGUCAUCGAAAAACUCACCCCCGACCGAAUCCAAUCCUCCAUCGAGGCGAGACACCGACAGUUAAGUUUUGCAGACGCACGGACCAGAGCAGAAUCGCACCGCCACCACCAAAUGAGGAAGGACGGCCCACCGCCGACUGUCUCCAAAAUGCUGAGCUGCUUCGAAACCAAGACAAUGGUGGUCACAUUCAUUGCUCUGGCGCUCGUCAUGCUCAUGUGGAACCUCCCUCCUUACUACCAAAAUCUCCUCUCCACCACCACCACCACCACCGGCCGCUCCUCCUGCUCUGCCGCCGCUGCCACUCUUUCCAUUGCCGCCGCCAAUGCGUCUUUAUCUAAUUCUUCUGCUGGCCCACUUGCUAAACGGAAGUAUUCGUCCCCCCAAAGCAUUCCCAACUCUAAAAAGCGAGUCUUCCAGCCCGUUGGCAACGCCGCUGCUCUCUUCGUCCUAAUGGGAGCAUACCGCGGGGGUCCCCGGACCUUCGCGGUGGUGGGGUUGGCUUCCAAGCCCAUUCACGUGUACGGUCGGCCCUGGUACAAAUGCGAGUGGAUCUCCAACAAUGGAUCCUCCAUUAGAACCGUAGCCUAUAAGAUGCUCCCUGAUUGGGGCUACGGCCGCGUCUACACUGUUGUCGUUGUCAAUUGUACAUUCCCUGUGAAUCCCAACCAGGACAACACCGGUGGGAAGCUCACUGUCAACGCCUACUACGGCGAAUCCCCAAAAAAGUACGAGAAAUUCACGGCUUUGGAGGAAGCACCGGGAUCCUACGACGAGUCCAAGUACCAUCCGCCUUACGAGUAUGAGUAUCUGUACUGUGGGUCAUCUUUGUACGGGAACUUGAGUGCGGCUAGGAUCAGGGAAUGGAUGGCGUACCACGCUUGGUUCUUCGGACCCAAGUCGCACUUCGUUUUUCAUGACGCGGGUGGAGUGUCGCCCGAGGUGAGGGAGGCGCUGGAGCCGUGGGUACGAGCCGGGAGGGCCACUAUUCAGGAUAUAAGGGGUCAGGCGGAGUUUGAUGGGUAUUACUAUAACCAGUUCUUGGUGGUGAAUGACUGUCUGCAUCGCUACCGACACUCUGCCAAUUGGACCUUUUACUUCGAUGUGGAUGAGUAUAUCUAUCUGCCCAAUGGAAACACGCUGGAAUCAGUGCUUAAUGAGUUCUCCAAUUACACUCAGUUCACUAUUGAGCAGAAUCCCAUGUCCAGUAUGCUCUGCUUGAACGAUUCCACACAGGAUUAUCCAAGGCAAUGGGGAUUCGAGAAGCUACUGUUCAGGGAGACACGAACCGGGAUCUGGCGGGAUCGGAAGUAUGCUAUUCAGGCCAAGAAUGCCUAUGCUACGGGGGUGCACAUGUCGGAGAAUGUCGUCGGAAAGACAUUGCACAAGACGGAAACAAAGAUCCGAUACUAUCACUACCACAACUCCAUAUCGGUACUAGGCGAGCCGUGCCGGGAAUUCCUCCCACUUUCGGCCAAGACCAAUAAUGUUACGUGGUACAAGGAGCUCCCCUUUGUCUACGAUGACAACAUGAAACAGCUGGCCAACACCAUCAAGGAAUUCGAGCGCAAAACCAUCGGACAUGUACAGCUCUAGCACCUACCCAAUAAGCGCCUAGCCGUGCGCGGAUGAUUUUUCAGGCCGAAAGGAAAAAAAUAAAAAAAAUUGUGACCACAAUUCCACUGAAAUCAACAUGCGGGAGAGCAAAUGCUGCUGCAGAUGUGAUAAUGGCUUGCUCCUCACGCAUUGCUUGCAUUGUCAUAAUUCAUCGAUUGAUUCUUGGCACAAAUAUUGAGUUGGGUUUGUUUGCUCCUGUUUCUUGGCCUGGGAUCCAUCUGACCCACCACCACCAUGGGAAUGAGAGGCGAGAAACUUGUGCAAAAGAAAAGGGAGGGACCCAACAGUGCUUUUAUUUGUCUAUAUCAUUAAAAAAAAUGCGCAAUGAUUGAGAGAUGGAAAGAAGAUUGCAGAGAGAUUAGCAACUAUACUGAUUGCAGAAAGUGAUCCAAAGGAAACAGUACUAGAUAAUCCCUCUGCUCUGCAUUUAUGUCUCUUUUGGAACUCUUGAUUAAAGCACGAGACAGAAUCAACA